AACAUCAGUUCUGGCCUGACUUACACAUGCAAGUACCCGCGCACCCGUGAGAAUGCCCUAUAUCCCCUCCCGGGGAAAAGGAGCCGGCAUCAGGCACACCAACGUAGCCCAAAACGCCUUGCUCAGCCACACCCACAAGGGAAUUCAGCAGUGAUAGAUAUUAAGCAAUGAGCGAAAGCUCGACUUAGUCAAGGCCAAAAGAGCCGGUAAAACUCGUGCCAGCCACCGCGGUUAUACGAGGGGCUCAAAUUGAUAUUACACGGCGUAAAGCGUGAUUAAAAAACAAAAAAACUAAAGCCAAACACUUCCCAAGCUGUCAUACGCUACCGGAACAUAAACGAAGCCCUAUAACGAAAGUAGCUUUAACACCUUUGAACUCACGACAGUUGAGGAACAAACUGGGAUUAGAUACCCCACUAUGCUCAACCUUAAACAACGAUGACACCAUACAAAUAUCAUCCGCCAGGGGACUACGAGCGUUAGCUUAAAACCCAAAGGACUUGGCGGUGCCUCAAACCCAC
rnacentral:rRNA from 1 species